CGCUGUUCAAUUGGUUAGAAGAAAAUAAGUUUUGUUAAUGUGCUAAAAAAAAACUAGACAUAGGGUGAUUUUUUAACUAUAAAAGAGGAAGCGAAAUUGGGAUAUAUAUUUCGCUUUCAGCAGUAGAAUAUUUCAUUUGAAUAUUUCAUUUGAAUUCUUACGAACCACUUAUCUAUAUAUUUAUUACUGGUCUUAACAGUUCCCCUCCCGGAUAAAAUAACUGGUCUCGUUAUUAAAAUAACCCAUAAAAAUUAUAACUUAUUAUAUACCAUGUAUACCUAAUCCUGUGAUAACAAACAUUAGAGAAUAUCCUACUCGUACCCUGUUGCAAGUAUAUCUCUGUAAGUGAUUCAUAACAUGUAAAACUUUAUAAAUACAUAAAUAUGGUCACAGGCUACAUUGCAGCUAUGUAUCUACCUACAUUUCAUCAUGAAUUACAAUAUGUACAUAUUUCAACACGAACGUCCUAAUUGACUGCUACAUCUUUGUAUAUCAAAUUUAUUUUGGUCGAAGGAUGUGGCCAAUAUUUUUUCAAAAAGGAAAAUUGUUUACAAAUAAAAAAAAAUGAAUGUAUCGGAAUCAGUUUUGUAUAUUUAAACCUUAUGCACCUUAAAAGAUGUUAUACCUAUCAAUUUUAGAGAAUAAAGUAUGCCCAUUGUUGAAAUAAGAAAACAGAGGAAAUGUCUGUCAAUGAUACAAAAUCAGUAGUACACGUACAAUAAAAAAAAUUACACAAAAUGCAAAGGAACAGCGCUUUUAUUAGUGUUCUUCAUCACAAAGUCACAUCGGAGCCUUCAUAACUGAGCAAAGAAAUCUCUCACAUCACUACAAGUUUAGGAAGGCUUUAAUCAGGUUUUUUAUGCAAAAUAAUUGAGGUAGACUUUGUAGAAAUUAACACUAUAUGUUAAUAUUAAAAAAUAAGAUCAUACUGGGUAGAAGUGCAUAUUUUAAAAAUAAUAGUUCCUACGAAUUGGGUUUGUUUUGAUAGAAAAUAUGGCUGCAAUGUUUUCCAUUGAACGUGUAAGUGUCUUUCAAUCAAAUCAUUAAGUACAGAUACAUAUUAUACACAACAUGUUUGUUUUUGAUCCAUAGUACAUGUUACAUUUAAAUAACCUUACUGAUUAUUUAGCUUUACCAACAAAGAAAUAAAAAGACCCAAGUCAACCUCAGAUUUAAUUUAUAUAUCAUUGUAAAUUGCAAACGGCAUUCAGCCAAACUAAUCCUUUAUUAAAUAUUCGAAAGAAACCAACAGAUAUAAAUUUAGGAAUACGGUAUACCAAAUAAAAGAUAACCCAAAUCCAUUGAAAUCACUCGUAAUAUUUCCAAUGACUCCAGAUUACCUUCGUUAUACAAAUGAAGAUAAGUUGUAAGACAAACUAAAUAAUUAUCAUAAUAAAAAACAACAAAUAGUAAGUUUGAAUUUUGGCAAUUUUUUGUCAUGGAUUUAUUAGGACAGUUCAACUAUAUAUCAACCGGCCUAUGAAUUUGCAUUCAUCGACAAUGUCUCAUUAAUGUCCAAGAUAAAAACAUAGAAGGGCAACCAUCAUAUGUUUUCUCCAAAUGGCAACUGGGCUACCAGACGCCAACUGUAAUAAAUUCAGCCAUUCAGUAAUAUAAUAUAUUCAGUUCAUAUUCUGUCCAAUCCAUGACGCUUCUUUAACGAUAUCUGAAAAUAUACAACAGAGAGCAGAAAAUAUUCUCAAGGGUGGGAUAGGGUGGGUUUUGUGUUCCUUCAGUUCAAAUCACGCAAUGAACAAAUCACGAAAAGCAUGCAAUUUUAUACCAAAUAAAAGCGGGAAAACCGCUUACGAAAUUAU
rnacentral:lncRNA from 1 species